UCGUGUGAGGCUGGCACGGGGGGAAACGCAGGAAGGAGAGAGGGGAGAUGUGCGGGAAUGAAAGGGCCCCAAAGCGAGGACAGGGGGUGCCGGAGGAAAGGAGGAGAACGGGCUCCGUGAGGGGCUGGCUGCUGCUGGAGGGGAGCAGAGGGGCGCCAGGGACACCAGCCACCCUGAGGGGACCCAGCCAGGGCACGGGGGACUGGCAGAGCGCCCUGGGCUCUUGGCAGCAGCUGAGCAGCCACCGCCUCCUCCGUGUUUGCUCCUUGCAGAGGCACAGCCCUGCUCUGGUGGCCCUCGCUGUGGGGUGGGAGAGCUCUGGGGUCGGGGGGAAGGAGGGUGGCUGCUGUUCGGGACCGUGCUGGAGCUGUAGCCCCAUCGCUGUUUGCUGCUGUGGCCGUGCCCUUCUCCCCGGUGACCGCUUUCUCUGAGUCACCAGGAAAUCUGAUAAGGCUCCAAUAAAACCACUGGAGUAGCGUGGGGGGGUUGCUUGGCACUGAGGGCUCAGCCACCCUGAUUUCUUGGCUCCUCUCCAACACCCUGUCACAUGUGUGUGACCAGAACAAUCCAAACGAGGUUUGACCUGGUUUACUGCCUGAACUUUAGGAGCCAAGGGGCCUUUUGGUAAAGAUUGCAGCCCCUAAUUCUUGAGAGGACUGCAUGUGGAAAAGGCAUGGGCCCUUUCCAUGACAUGUGGCAGCUUUGGAGGUGACGUUUGCUGGUUUGCAUCACUUACAUUCCUGAUUUAAGCCUCUCAAAGCGCUGGUGGUCAGAAGGCUGCAGGGAACAUGGAGGGCAGGAGGGGAGCCCAGCAGCCCUGUGGCGGCUACGCAGUGGAAAAUCACCCCCAAACGUGACCCAUCAAUUAAAGCAGAUCAUCAGCCUCAGCAGGAACCCGCUAGGUGUGUCAAUUCCUCUCGGCUAUGUGCUGGAUAGGCAAAUUAAUCUGUUUUAGCAAUUAAGCAAGAAGUCCUGAGCGUUUCUCAUUCUGAAAGGGCUUAGUCAUAUCUGGGUGAGAAGCCUGAGCCGGUGCGAUGCAGGUGGUGAUGUUUGGGUUGAGGCAGGACUGUGCUCUGGCAGUGGGAGACUCCCUGAGACUAAAACACAGGGGCUGCUUUGCUUUCAGAAAAAGUUCCUAGGAGCUAGAAGAGGUACGAUGUUCCUGUGAAGGAACUGGGUCAGGUUUUUCUCCCGCCUUGUGCCUGGAUCAGGCAGAGCUGUGCUGGGGCAGGGCUGCUGGGUGUUUGCAGCAUCCAGGGAAGGCCUGCUGGCUUUGGUAGCGCUUCCUUUGCUUGUCCUGGUUGGACCAGGGCCUGUCAGCCUCUUGAGCUCUGCAAACGAUUUUGGUUUGUGCAGAUUCUUGGCCAAGAGGAAAUUGCUCUGGCCUGACCAUUUUAACCUGCGAACGAAUCCUAGUGCAGCUCCAGGUGUCUGCAGGACAAACCACUUGCAGAGGCAAGCUCUCAGGCAGAUUUAUUCCUUGCUCCCUGUACCUUUCCUGAAAGGUUCUGAAAGGCCACAGUCCUGUUCCACAAGGAUACUCUCCAAGGUGUGGUUAUCCUGCAGGAGCUGCAUUGCUGCGGGAACGCCUUCUUCACAUUCCCCAACUUUGAGACUGCAUCAGGAAACUCCAGGUCUGACAGACAGAACCAACAAGUCCUCCUUGGCUCCAGCCCUGUCAUUCCUGUCACCAGCUUGAGAAAAAAAUCAAGCUCCUGUGGCCCAAUUUUCUCUCCAUUAGCGAGAAAAACUUCCAUGUCAAGGGCAUCUGAAGCCUGCCUCAUUUUCUGCGUGGAGCUUUGGAUCCCCAUGGAGAUGGCAUCUGAGAAAAGAAGAUAAAACCCUUUUGUGAGGAUGGAUCCCGGUUAUUAUUUGUUUAAUUAUAGAGUCUGGACUGGUGCGGAGGCAACAGUUAACAAUUACCUUCUGUAAAGAACUUUGACAACAGCUGAAUAGGUUAAUGAGUUGCAAGGUGGAGGCAAAUCAUUGCAGCUGUCAUUUAUGAGGCUGGAGGUGCAAGGAAGAGUCCUCAGGCUUCCACCUGAUGUCUCUGAUUUAAGGGGCUUUUCCUCCUUCUUUUGGAAUAAUCAAGUAGCAAUUUUCUUCUGCCAUGCAGCUGGGAUUAUCUGGGAGCCAGGGAAUUAAGUUCCAAAAUAAAAUUUAAAGUAUUCAUUACACUUUAUGAGCAGACUUCGGGAAUAUUUAAUUGUGGAAAUAAAUUAUAGGGAGGUGAAUUGGAAA